GGGACGGGGCGGCCGCGGCGCCGAGACCCGGGGGCAGUCCGGGGGCAGUCCGGGGGCAGUCCGGGGGCAGUCCGGGGGCAGUGCGGGGGCAGUGCGGGGUCUGCCACCGCAUGCUGGCCCUGCCAUCGCAUCCCGACCAUCCCGGCCCUGCCAUCGCAUCCCGGCCCUGCCAUCCCGGAAAGCUGCCGUGGGGCCCGGCUGCGGGGAGCGGCGUCCCGGAGCUGUCGGGGAGCUGCAGGGAGCGCUGCUGGCCGUGCAGCCGCCGCAGCAUCCUUCCUUCUCCCUCAUUCCUCUGGGUUUGUCCAUUUUCCUUUCCGGCGGGCCCAGAAGGAAGGGCCUGACUCCGGUCACCUGCUGGAACCUCCCCUGCGCUUCACUGGGAUUGAGGUUAAACCUUCCGAGGGGCAAACCCACGAAAUCCGGGAUGAGGCUCCUUGUGUGCCAAUAAACAAUUUGCCUUUUUUCUCCCUCCCAGCAUUUUUUCCCCUUCUUACUUUAUUUCCUCAGCAUCCAUGACAACUGCCGGCCGGCACGGCGGCACUGAGGGAUUAUGGAGCCCCCAGGGCCACAGGGCAGGGGCAGGGGAUGGGGCGGCUGCUCAGAGCCACGGGAACGGUUUGUGAGUGGGAAAGCAACCGGUCAUGAGAAGCAAAACCAGUCAAGCUCAUCAUGAGACCCAUCUGGCCCAAAUCCUGCCCGGGAAUUUCCCUCAGUGCUCCUUGCGCAGCUUUGUGCAGUGCCAGACCCAGCUCCUGCCCUUUUCUGAUCCUUAGCUUCGUGUGAGGAAGAUGAAGAUGGGGAAAUAGCGUUUAUAGAGAAUAGAACAGCACAGCUCCUGAGGGGACUGCAGUUUGCUCUUGUCUCUGUUUCAGAGCAGGGCCCAUCGCUUCCAGCCUAUAAAUCCUGAUCCCAGAGGAGGCAAUUAUUUCUGCAAGGCAAUCUAAUUCCUGAGUGGGUUUAACUUGCCACAAAGGCAGAAGACCUCAGGAGCACUGGUAAUAGGGCAGAGAGCUCCUGGGCGCUAGACAAGCUUUGGAUUGUUCCUGUGCUGGAUGCUGGUGCAAAUACGUGGGCAGAGACAGCUGGAUCCUGAGGAGCUCCCAGCGUCCCAGCAGGCAUGUGAAUGGGUGUUUUCCACCUUGUCCAGGUGAGAGGAUGUCUUGGCAUCGGGUUUGCCGUAGCCCCUGAUUUUGGCUGGGAGUCCUCUGGAGAAGCGAGUGCCUGCUGCAGUGCUAGCUCUGGCAUGGGCAUGCAAGGUGUGUAUGUACCCAUAACACAGCACAUGCUUCACCAGCAACUAUGGCAUCUGUCAAUCCCCUCCUCCUCAGGUGGUACAUGACCUUUCCCGUGAGACAUCCCCUGUGCAUGAGCUGGCUGUUGCCACCUUAGUCACAGUGGACGUGUCCGAGCUGCAGGGAGCAGCCACUUGGAGCAAACCACCCCCUGUCCUGUCCAGCCUCCUGUGGGCAGCACCUGGUCUCAGGAUGUUCCAGACCAAUCCGUCAUCUGUGUGUUUAGGGGAUGGGUUGGUGCUGGGUAAACUGAGGUUUGGAGGGGUUUGGUUCAUGGUCACAUGGGCAGCCUGGCCACAGCCCAGGCAUUGUGACUGGGAGUUGUGCAUGGAGCUGGGGAGAUGCUUCUUGUGCCAUCUCACCCCACUGGACUCCUCCACACCCAAAAUUGGUUUUGGGGUCCCUGUGCAAAGCACUGGGUUGCUGCUGGUGCCGCUGGCUCUGGGUAAUCUUUGUAUUUGCUGACUUGACUUAAUUGUGGCUUGGUGGAGAGCUCGGCUCUGGGGAAGCUGAAGGUACAGGGAGGCCCAAACCACACACAGCGCUCGGGGAGGGAUUGUGAUCCAAAAAAAAAAAGAAAGUUCAAAGGUGUUUUUGGCUUAAUGCGGUUUAUCUAGAUUGCUUUAUGUUCGUUAAUCUGGAUUAACACAAAUUCUCUUGGAAUGGCUGGCUGGAGAAGGGUUUGCUCAGCUAUUCUGACAAGGACAGGCUUUUCCAAAAGUGAAAAGUCUGAGUUGGGAAAAAAAAAAGCACCAGGUCCUGUCUGGCAUGAGUACAUGGAAGCCCUGUGAGCAGAACAAAGCUGUUUCAUCCCUGCUGCCCACAUCCAAGGGUCCCUGGCACCCGCAGACACUAAUGACUGAUCAACUUCCCCCACUACCAUAGAGGAUUAAUCCCCCCUGUACUUCCUGGGGCGAUGUGAACCCCUUUUCCAGCUGGCAUGCCAGAAUGGAUGGCACAAUUAGUGAACUGCAAGGUAAAUUGGAGGUCAAGCCCAGAUUUGAAGGUGGUGGUGAGUGUGAGCAUGACCCAGGGAGCCAUGUGAUGUGGGCGACAUCCUGGAGAGGCAGGUGAUCUCCCUGUCCUCUCCUUUCCCCAGGGCUGGGAUUAAGAGAGAUUUUACAGCUGAGUGACCAGCCUCAUGGUGAGGUUUGGUUCACAAUGGCUCAGCCCCCAGCCCCUUAUCAAGGAAACUUCUGGGUCUUUUAUGGCUAAGCUGUGCAUCAGCAGGACAGUUUGUGCCUCCAGGGGACCUGUCCCUGGGAGGCACCACCCCUUUGCAUCCAUAGGGACUUCCCACAUUGAGAACAGGCAGAGAAGCACGCAGUGUGAAACGUGGGACUCGUGGAGAUGGAUGGCAAAGCCCAGUGCUUUGGAGAAGGUUAUCUUGUGCUUGAACAUUCACCUGCAGUCUGGGUGCACUUUCUUGCUCUUCAGAAGUCUUCUCUUGCAGCAUUGGGCAGGUCUUUGCAUGACAUGCCAUCCCUUUCUACCAGCUGCCCGUGAUCAGGAUUGCUUGGGUGUUACAGGGCUGGAGACCUCUCAGGGACCAAUGGAUCAGCUCCGUGAAGGGCCCAGCUCCAGCUCUCAGCAGCCAGGAGCAGCAGCAGGCAAGCAAAGCAUUCCUGCAGAGCUGGGAUGGGAGCUGUAAGCAGGACCUGGGCCCUGCCCCAAACCCAGGGGACUCCCUCCUCCCCCUGCCCGUGCAAACACCAGAUUAACAAUUUAUUUGACGUGUUGCGGCUGGUUAGUUCUUCGCCCGCUGCCCUGAUCAGAGGGAAUAAGUGUUGCAGUGUGCAAUAAUGUUCAUUUCAGGUGAGGGUAAAUAUAGAAAGGAAAACCUGCUGAGAGCAAGCCAUUUAUUCCUGCGUUUGGAAGCCUCUGCUCAUAAACAGUCAGUCAUGCCCAUUUGGAAAAUCCCAGUGUGGUUUUCUUGGCCAUCCUAGAAGAACAUUUACUUUCCUGUAGGUUAAGAAGUCCGUUUUAAAUAAAAAAAAUAAUGUCAUCUCACUUCCAGCUGCCCUCGGGCGUUUAGGGCUUGUUGACACACUAAGGCUGCUCUGUUCUCAUGCAAAAGUGGUCUGAUGCUGGAUUAGGAAGGAGAUCCUGCAGGGCUUCCCCAGCUGGUUGGGCUGUCAGACCCUUGUUCUUUGGGUUCUCCUUGUUCUCCUUGGGAUUUUAUCAGAUGUUUUAGCUACAUGUAGUGUUAAAAGCCCCCAGCUUCUAGGGGUGUGGGUGGGGUGUGGAUUCAGGAAAGUGCUGGGGGUGCCCUGAGAGCCCCAUGGCUCAAGAGCCGUGUGCGGGGAGGCUGGGGCAGAGGGAUGAGCUCAUGCUGGACCAGAAAACCUCUGAGGGUUUUUGGGAGAGCAUGCCAAAGGCAACAAGACAUGUGGGCUGAGGAGCAUCCCUCAAACAAGCCAGCAGCCGUGGUCAGCCCAUGGUGACCUGCUGCAGCACAGGAAAGACACCCCAAAGCAGUGUUGUAGCAGGAGGCUGAGGAGGGUGGGGAGCCCCUGGCACAGCCAAGCUCUGCCUCUCUCCUCUAUCCCAAAAGUGGCACCGAGGAGCCGUGUGGGAGAGCAAAGCGGCCGGUUUGAGUUGGAUGGCUGCCCCUGUCGGCUCCGUGGCUGGCACCAGCCAGCUCCCUCCUCUGGAGCGUUCUGCAGUCAAUGAGGGUCUCUCCGUGUUUUCUGACAGGCUUUGGAUUUGGCUCAGGUUUUGCCUUGGUUUCUGAAGGCAAGAGGCAGUUAAGUCUUAAGAAGAAUGAAUUAAUUAGCAAAUGCCUUUGGUCAGGUCAGUGCCCUGAGCACUGUGCCCAUACCUCUGUGCCAGGUACACGCUCGGAGAGGCUUCUUUUACCCUCCCAUAUUUCCAGAGCUGUACAUGCAUCAUCCAAGAAAAAAGAAAGGGGAAAAAGCCUCCCUCGGAACACAGUAUUGACUCUAAUGAUGGCAUUUGUGUAAGCAACAAAAUAUUGACGCAGUUGGCUGGGGUCUGGCCGGGGCUUCUGGAAAUAAACUGCUGCCUUGUUAAACUGUAGAUGGAAAUGCAAGUGGGAAAAUGACUGACAUCUUACACUAGGCGGGCAAAUAAAACCGCUGCUUUACUACAGCGUGAAAAAACUCAGGAAUUAAUAGGUCUCCUUCUGCUCCAGGGUGUUGGAUUUAUCCCCGAGUAAGAUCCAUAAACUAUUUUAAGGAGAGAAGUGCUACUUUUAAACAUGUGUGUCUGGGUCCUGGAGUUCCUGUGGUGUCACAGUUAACCCCUGCCUUGUCGCGGCUGUGGGCAGCAGAGCAGCCCCUCACAGCCCCCCACAGCCCCGUUCCUGGUAGGCGCCAUUCUUGCCAACACACAAACACAUCAACACCUGAUAAAUGAUGAGGUUACUUUCAAAGGGUGUUUUCCUAUGAUGUGUUCCCACAGCUUUUGUCAGAAAUGUGUUUCAGGCCUCGACCUGGACUCAGAGCUUGAUUUUACCAGUGUGGGACAUAAAAUGUAUUUUAAAAAACCCACCUGCUCCAAAGCUGUGUCUGACUCAAAGCAGAUGCACAGUGUUGCUGAGUCCAUCUGGAGUGUGACCCAGCACACCCCAAAAGACUCCUUUUUACUUCAGCAGCUGAAGACCUUUUACCAUCUUCUAUGGGAAAUGUGAUUAACAGAGCUGUAGAGAGUGAUACAUCACUUUCCUUUCUACCCAAAGCCCCUUCCUUCUCCACCCACAUCCUGACGAUCUCCCAGCUGACGUACAUGUGCUCGUGGAAAAGUAGGAUGAGAUAAAAGCUGUCUCCCAGUGGCACAGGGUCCGACUCACCAGCAGCAGCGACACCAGUGUAAUUAUACACGCUCCAGUCCGAUCUCCCAGUAAUUAUUCUGGAAUAAAAGCCUGCCUAUUUCUGUAAGACCUUAUGUCACUUGGAAAGCUGUUAUAAAUUCAGCUGGAAAAAGGGACCCUUAUUCUGGGAUAAGUGUGGUUAGUGGUUAACUGGGAAUGGGGCUAUUCCUGGCGUUGCCAUCGACCUUCCUGGUGACGCUGGGGUAAGUCACUACACCUCAGCGUGUGUCACCUUCUCCUGCUGCAAACUGGGAAUUACAAACAAGGGCUUUCGCAGGCAGCAUUUUGGGAAGCUCCAUGACACUGGAAAAAAGGUGUCACAGGGUGCCAGGCAGUCAUUUAGUGGGACCUGGUGCUUUUUUACCCACCUUGGAGGCAUCUGGAUCAAACUGUAGGCUGGGGAAAUGAGGGACGAGUGCUGGGGACCGGCUGAGCUGCGUGAGCCUGGACUGUUGGCGUGUUACUGGGAAUACUGUGUUUUCCUCUCGGUUUUUAAAAAUAGUCUAUUCUGUUCCAAGUUGUAGACCACAGCCCUCGCUGGGGCAUUGAAAUGUCUGGGCUGCUGUUUUCUUGAGCCAGCACCUUCCAGUGUUCAGGGUCUGGAUGCAGCACCAGCAUCCAUCCCCCAGCUGCUGGGUCCAGCAAAGAUGGGGGGUCCUGCUCUGGACUGGCAGCAUUUACCCUCUUGUUCUCGUGGACUGGAGGGAAAGGGAAAUCUCCUGGUUCACUCUUCUGCCUGCAGUAUCCCCGCCUGAUUCAAUAACUGCUUCUGCAAGCCCUAAGGGCCUCGGGGACUUCUGCUUCUCGGCAGCUUCUUGUGCAGCCUCAGAAACAGCUUUUGGCUCAGCAUCAUGCAAGCACACACAGCCGAAGCAGCUCCUUCCUAGCACAUGGCAUUAAAUCCCUGCUAGAGAUGGGGAGAAUCAUCUCGGAGGGUUUUAUCGUUUGCACAGACAGUGCAGCCUGGCUCACGGCCAGAAUCCAUCUGUUUGCCAAAGCGGGUGCUGCCCACGGAGCAGCAGGACCAAGGUGCUGAUGCCAAGAGGUGAAGGCAGAGCCUGCCCUGGCGCGUUCCCACGGCCUCCGUCCCUGCGCAAGCACCGGAGUGGGGCUCACUGCCGCUCGGAAUUGGGCUGGAGCCAAGGAGGCAGAGGGGAAAAAGCCUUUUACAGCCCAUUAGUGCUCCCCAGAGCCGUUCAGCCCCUCUCGUCGUAAAAGUGGUGGAAGCCACAGAAACAUUACGGCUGGUCUGCUGAAGAUGCUGGUCUGCAGAAGAUGCCAGCCCACCUCCCGGCUCCAUGUCCCUUCCCAGGGGCUUUGCCAAAGCCGCUGGCCCUCACGGCAGCUCCGGCUGCUGGAAUUCCCUCUGGGAACAAGCUGGCAAGGGUUGGUUCCCAGUCCAUCGAGAGCACCCCCCAGGCAAAAUGUACAUGGGAGGGUUCCAAGUGCAAAUGUGUGUGUGCUAAUGGGAACUGAAUUGCCUCUUGCCCCGAAGCCUUGCAGCUUGAGGAAAACAAGGCAGGGGCUAGGAAUGACCUCAUAUCGCCUCCCAGGGAAUGUUUUGCCAGAUGAAGGGGGGAGAGGCAGCAUCAAGACAGCACAAUGUAUGUAUCUCUCUCCCUGUGUAAACAUCUCUGUAGCUGCAGAAACCUCUUAAAACCCCGAAUGAGAGGAGAACAGCUGCUUUGAUCUGUGGAUGUGGUUGUUGUUUUCUGAGUGCGGAUCCGUUCUUUUUUUAAUUUUGCUUCAAAUUAAAAAAAUGCCUGUUGUGAUCUUUUGCUUUUAUUUCUUGGCGAGGGACCGGAGCAUGGUGCAGUAAAUUUUCAUGACUCCCCAUGUAACCGUUUCAGCAUGGCUGACAAUUCCUCGCCGGCUCUUCAGCGCCACAGCACAAUGGGCCGAAUCUUCUGGCCCUACAUGAAGCCAAAGCAAAUGGAUUUUGCCCAGAAGUGCACAACGGGGAGUGGAGGCGGCAGGGAGGAGAAUCCUGCCACCUCCUUCCCUGCCACACACACACACACACACAAGGCUCGGGCUGGCAGGGUUGUCCCAAUGCCUGUGAAGAGUUUUGGAGACAGCUCCCGGGUGCGGAUCCAUGCCAGCCCUACGCGGCAGCAACAGGAGCUGGUGAGGAACCACUGGGCCAAAGCUCGGGCUGCCCUGCAGGUGAUUUCAGUGUGACUCAUGGCACUCCCUCCAGACUCCCUGUGUGAUGUUGGGAAUCCCCAUCUGCCCGACUUUCCCCUUGGGAGACAGCCCUGUGCUUGGAGGGGCACCAUGGCAUGCACAGCCCUGGCACCUCCACUGCCCCUUCGACCGCCCGACCAGGCAGCACCCUUUGGGAAGAAAACAAGAUUAUAUCGCUUUUUUGGGAAUUCCUGGACAUCAGCAGUUCACUGCAACCCCACUGCUUUGCUGUGGUACUUUGCAACCCCGUUGGAGGGCUGAGACAUGGGGGUCAGCCCCUUGGCUCCUGCGGUGUGAGCGGUGCCUUCAAAGGCAAGACCCAGCCCCAGCGGUGCAAGGCGCUGGUUUAACUGGGAGCACUUGGCCAGAGACCUGUCCCUGCUGAGGCGGUCUGGGCACGAGUGAGGAGUUUGUUCAUUCCCCCGUGCUGUCACGUGGCUGCUCGGUGUUUUGGCGUUUUAAUUACACACGGUCCUGUGUAUUUAAGGCUGGUUUAUGGGUGUUUAUACUAAUGCGUAAACCUGCAAUUUA